AGCCGAACCAGACAGCCACUCACCUAGCAAAACAAUUAAAAUUGCGUCAUUUAAACACCAAGAAUUACAAAUGUAGGAAGAGAAAUUUACAAGCAAUUACUGUUCUAAGAUAUAUCUACCAGCUCAUCUCAAAAGGCAGCAUUAUGCUCUCAAACAAUUAAAAAGUGAGGGUCUAACAAGUAAAAACCUUCAUUAGGUACAAAUAAAAUAGAUUUAAGCAAACAAAUCUGUACUUGUACAACCAAAAGAAAUCAAUAAUUAAAUACAGCACAGCACAUAGAUGCAUACUUAUGAUAAUGUAUGCAUAAAACUAUCUAUGGAUGGGCAUGCUUGUUACCAUGGCUACUUAUUAAAGUUUUGUGCAAUUAAUGGUUCACUAGCGUUGACCAUGUCUAAUUAUAUAUGCUUUUAAGUUGACUUCCCAAACAAUCACUUCCUGUUAGCAUCUACUGCUUAUUCUACCUUGAAAUAUCAGUU
rnacentral:misc_RNA from 1 species